UACACGCUGUGACUAGCAUAUCAAUAAGCGGAGGAAAAGAAACUAACAAGGAUUCCCCUAGUAACGGCGAGUGAAGCGGGAAGAGCUCAAAUUUGAAAUCUUAAAGGGUUUCCCUUUACGAAUUGUAGUUUAAAGAAGUGUUUUCUGUUGAGGUUUUGGUAAAAGUUCUUUGGAAUAGGACAUCAUAGAGGGUGAGAAUCCCGUAUUUGACCUUUACUUUCAACUUUGUGAUACACUUUCAAAGAGUCGGAUUGUUUGGGAAUGCAGUCCAAAAUGGGUGGUAAAUUUCAUCUAAAGCUAAAUAUUGGCGAGAGACCGAUAGCGAACAAGUACCGUGAGGGAAAGAUGAAAAGAACUUUGAAAAGAGAGUUAAACAGUACGUGAAAUCGUCAAAAGGGAAGCGUUUGACACCAGUGUUGUUUUUCUGAAAAUCAAUUAAAGAACUGUUUAUGCUAAGUUGUUUAGACUUUAUCAGCUAACUGUUUAGUUUUGAGCUUUUCUUUAAUGCACUUUUCAGUUAACAAGUCAACAUCAAUUUCUUUUGCUGUAAAAAAGCUUGAGGAAGGUGGCUUGAGAUUCGUCUUAAGUGUUUAUAGCCUCUUGCCUAUGCAGUCGGAGAGAUUGAGGUCUGCAGCGUAGAUCCUUCGGGGCUAAAUGCAUUUGUGCUAAGUUAUAGCAUUCCAUAGACAACUUGUUGACUAUGAUUUGUCUUGUAGCUUACUCGCUUAUGUUAUUUUACCUACGCUUAGGAUGUUGACAGCAGUAUAGACUGU
rnacentral:rRNA from 1 species